rnacentral:lncRNA from 1 species
AGUAAAGAAAAAUGACAGUCCUCAGUUGCCUGAUGAACAAAUAAUUUCAAGGGAUUAGUUUAAGAGACUGAGGGCAAAGAAGCCAGUAUGAGGCAGCUAUCAAUCUGUCCACAGUGUGGAUCAUUACUCUCCAUGACCAUCAGCCUAUUGUGCCAUAAACUCAUGAAGUUUAAUUUGGCCUCUCUGAAAAAGUUCCAUUCCAGAUCUAACAAACAAGGACAAAGAAAUGUAGCUGUCCACCUGACUGACACUGCAUGCCUAAUGAGUGGUAGCUUAAGGAUAAAGAAGCCUGGAGGGAAGAACAGACCACACAAAGCCCUCCUUGGAACAAGAGACAACUUGGCUUAAAUUUAAAUAUGUCAAUGUUGGUUUAAAAUGGAGUAGGCUCCCAGGAUGAAGCGAAAUUGUCUUAUACUCUCUGCCUGUCCAGAAUUUCCCUUGAGAUGUAUCUACAGGGAUUCAGAGAUGUACAGCAUAAGGCCUGUUCCCAUAUUUAUUCAUGCGCCUCAAGUGCAACCCAGAGAGCACUCCAUGGAAGGCCUCUGCCAGACGUCUGUGUCUCUGAAACUUGCUUUGAGAUCUGGCCCAGCAUAGAAGCACUGGCAGACCUGGCUGACCCUUUUGUGAUCUCCCAUCCAUAGACCCUUGUAGUAAGUCCUGUCUGUCCUAAAACUCGCUCUGUAGACCAGACUUCGCUGCCUCUGCCUCCAAGAGCUGGCAUGCCUGGCUCCUCUCUUUAGAUUAUGCUAUACUUGCUAUACUAUACUAACACGCCAUACUUACUAUACUAACAUGCUAUACUUACUGUACUACACUAACACUCCAUACUUAUUAUACUAUACUAACAUGCCAUACUUGCUAUACUUACUAUACUGUACUAAUAUGCUAUACUUACUCUCUUCUUGACUUGAGGUUAUUGUUUUCAUUUUACAUCCUUCAACUGCGUUACUGUUGGCUCCUUGUGUGUUGUUUUACUAUAGCAAAACGUGUGAGUAACCUCUGUUAAAGGAAACAAAAGUGACCAUCAUUAGCAGUCAUUUUAGUACAGUCUAUAUGUCCCUGGUGGAGAAUACAAAUAUUUUGAGACUAGAGGCAGCCUAACUGCAUCCCAUCUCUGCUUUUUUUUUUUUUUUUUUUUUUUUUUUUUUUUUUUUUUUUUUUUGAGCAGCAGGGAGGAGGACCGUACUUAAAUUGACAGUCCACUUGAGAUGCUGAGUUGGGCACACCUAACACAACAUCUGUUUAAAGAAAUCUUGUAGUAUAGUGCAGUUUUCCCAGGGUCCACACCAGUAGUUCUUACUAUUUGGUUUAAAGAUCUCCUAACACUUUUGUUCUUAAUAUUUUUAAAUGAAAAAAAGAAAUCACUGUUUUCUCAAACAAA